rnacentral:rRNA from 1 species
GACGAACGCUGGCGGCGUGCUUAACACAUGCAAGUCGAGCGGAGCGGCGAACGGGUGAGUAACGCGUGAGUAACUGCCCCCCUCUCUGGGAUAACAGUUGGAAACGGCUGCUAAUACCGGAUAGUGGGGGAUGACUCGCGUCCUAUCAGCUUGUUGGUGGGGUAGUGGCCUACCAAGGCGGUGACGGGUAGCCGGCCUGGGAGGGUGGGCGGUCACACUGGGCUGGGAUACGGCCCAGACUCCUACGGGAGGCAGCAGUGGGGGAUUUUGCACAAUGGGCGCAAGCCUGAUGCAGCGACGCGCGUGAGGGAUGAAGGCCUUCGGGUUGUAAACCUCUGGUGAGCAUGCUUUUUGAACUGGUAAAGAAGUACCGGCUAACUACGUGCCAGCAGCCGCGGUAAUUC